rnacentral:rRNA from 1 species
AUGGCCCUCGCGUUCGUGUCGUCUUCUCCGACUCCGUCGGCCGCCUCGACUGCUGCCGCCGCGCUGGCCGCGGCUGCUCUUGCCUCCCGCAUGGCCGCCCCGGCAGCUGGUGGCCGCCUGUCCCGCUCUGGACUCCCGCCGAGGUCGGAUGCGGCAGCAUCAAAGACGGCGCAGUCGAGCAUGCUUUCUCUGCCGAGCUCCCGGCCUCCCCCGCCCGGCGUGGCGACGUUGCCCGCCCUGGACACAGCGCGUGCUGCUCCAGGUCGUGCCCCUGGCCUGGUGGACGGAGGGCUUGGGUCCCCGCCGCGGAUUGGGUGUCUCCCGUCCCCGGCCUCUGCUGACGCUGCGACGUCGUCCCUGUUUGCUGCUGUGGGCGUGCCGUCCCCGACUCCUGCCGGCGUUGCUACGUCGUCCUCGACUCCUGCGGAAGUCUGGGCGCCACCUCCGGCUGCUGCUGCUGAAGCACCAACCACGACUACUGCUGGCCCCGCUACAUCGUCCAUGAACCCUGCUGGCUCCGCUACAUCGUCCUCGACUCCUGCAGAAGUGGCACCACCCUCAACUCCUGUCGGCACUGUGCUGGGUCUGGACAAGGCACAACCUGUUUUGUGGAGCUCUCUUACCGACGACGAAGAAGAUGAGGAGGACGAGGUGCUGGCCCGGCAGACACCGCCGCCUGCUACCAAAUCCUCAAUUCCGGCUGCUCGGCCGGGCGUGGCAUAUGAUGCGGAUUCGUGUGGAGGUUGGCAGAAGGUGUUGUCACGGGGCAACGUGCAACGUCCAGCGUCACUAGCCCCUACAUUGGCUCCUCGUCCUGUCCCUGCUUGGCUUCAUGGAAGAUGUUACAGAUGCCUCCUUCCCGGACACCGCGCAGCGGAGUGUCGAGAUCCUUUUAGGUGUUCUCGGUGUAGAAUGGUCAUCGGGCACGUGAGUGCCGCAAUGCCUGGCGUCCCCUCAGCUUUUUGGGAAGUCCUACUCUGUCACCAUUGCCUCGCCUCCCAGUCCGGCAGCAACAAGCUCCAGCUCCUCGCAAGCACCAGAAAGAAGCCUCGUCCCUCUCGAAGACGUUUGGUCGUGAUUCUUGGGCAUCAAUCGUUGCUUCUCCUGUUGGCUCCGUGUCCUUGGCGGAUUUCCCAGUGCGGCCUGCCUUGGAGAGGCAGGCCGAGUUGCUGCGCUCUGAGCUCCUUGGUAUGGCUUCCUUCCGGGUUGAGGAGACGGUCCAGCCUCUGCGUGAUGUCAUUGACUCCAUGCAAGGUUGGAUGUUGCGGAUGGAGAGCUUCAUUAUGCGAGCUGAGGCUACACUGGGCGCGCUCUCGCUAG